rnacentral:rRNA from 1 species
AGGUCUGACCUGCCCACUGAAGUAUUUAAAGGGCCGCAGUAUUCUAACUGUGCAAAGGUAGCAUAAUCAUUAGUCUUUUAAUUGGAGGCUGGUAUGAACGGUUGGACGAGGUAUAAGCUGUUUCAUAUAAAUUUAUAAUAGAAUUUUAUAUUUUAGUUAAAAAGCUAAAAUGAUAUUAAAAGACGAGAAGACCCUAUAAAUCUUUAUACUUUACUUUAUUUAAGUGUUGUGGAUUUAUUUUACUUUUAUAGUGAGGGGUAUUUUAUUGGGGUGAUAUUAAAAUUUAAUUAACUUUUAAUUGUUAUGAAAUCAUUGAUUUAUGGUUUAUUGAUCCGUUAUUGGCGAUUAUGAGAUUAAGUUACUUUAGGGAUAACAGCGUAAUUUUUUUGGAGAGUUCUUAUCGAUAAAAGAGUUUGCSACCUCGAUGUUGGAUUAAGAGAUAUUUUUAGGUGUAGCCGCUUAAGU